GAUGAACGCUGGCGGCGUGCCUAACACAUGCAAGUCGAGCGAACGGACGAGAAGCUUGCUUCUUUGAUGUUAGCGGCGGACGGGUGUGUAACACGUGUAUAACCCACCUAUAAGACUGGGAUAACUUCGGGAAACCGGAGCUAAUACCGGCUAAUAUUCUGAACCGCAUGGUUCAAAAGUGAAAGACGGCUUUGCUGUCUCUUAUAGCUGGUUCCGCGCUGCAUUAGCUAGUUGGUAAGGUAACGGCUUACCAAGGCAACGAUGCAUAGCCGAACUGAGAGGAUGAUCGGCCACACUGGAACUGAGACACGGUCCAGACUCCUACGGGAGGCAGCAGUGGGGAAUAUUGCGCAAUGGGCGAAAGCCUGACGGAGCAAGGCCGCGUGAGUGAUGAAGGUCUUCGGGUCGUAAAGCUCUGUUAUUGGGGAAGAACAGAUGUAUAAGUAACUGUGCACAUCUUGACGGUACCUAAUCAAGAAGCACCGGCUAACUACGUG
rnacentral:rRNA from 1 species